GCACCAUAUUCUGAACAAGUGGCCAGUGUGAAUUCAAAUCACAAUAAGUCUGCAUCCUAUUCUGGACAAGUGGCCAGUGUCAAUUCAAAUCACAAUAAGUCUGCACUCUAUUAUGGACAAGUAGCCAGUGUCAAGUCAAAUGUCAGCGCCUUUAAAAUGGAUUACAGGACUAUAACGAGAUAACACAUAUACAAUCCAGUACUCAAAUACGAUCAAACAAACAGCCCAAGGCAAAGAUUGUUAAACUUCAUUAUGGGACGAUUAGAAUCACCGAAAAGGGCAGCGCUGCAAAACAACCCAACUUCAUACACCACAGCCUUAUGGUCCCAACCGGGGCGAAUUACCAAAGCAACAUCAAAUUGACCGCAGAGUGGCUUCGCGCCACCGGUCCAUCGCAACUACUCAAAGCAAUCAAAUU